GGAUCGAUGAUGACUCCAAAAAAUGAAUUCCUUGGAAAUAUGAACAAAAUGAAUGAGAAAUCCCUACCAUCUCCUCAUCAGAACUGAUGUCC
ensembl:snoRNA SNORD116 Small nucleolar RNA SNORD116